ACUUGUUGAGUCAAGCAUUUUCUAAGGUCAUUAAAUUUUAUGCCCUGUUCAUAACAAUUUCCGGAACAGCUAUACCCCGUGCAGAAGAUCAGGUACCAGGGAAAGGUAGCCGUUCAGGUUUCAGUUAUUCAACAAUGCCGUUGAAAUAAGACCGGCACGUCUUGAAUAAGUCAUUUCUGACUCCGUUCUGGUGGUAGGGGACAUUGUUUUGCUGUUGGGUAUGGAUCAAGCUGCAAGUACAGAAGAGGAUGGUGUAUUCACCACCAUUUCGUUAACUGAUGACCCAGUGGAUUCUGGAUCUACUAUCUCUGAUUCAAAACUUGACAGUGACCUGUUCGUGAUGAAUGCAGAUAUGGAAGUUAUUGACCCUGAGAACCAAGUAGAAUUAGAAGAGAAGACACGACUGAUUAACCAAGUGCUGGAACUCCAGCACACUUUAGAAGAGCUGUCUGCACGUGUAGAUGCUGUAAAAGAAGAGAAUCUUAAACUAAAGUCUGAAAAUCAAGUCCUUGGGCAAUAUAUAGAAAAUCUCAUGUCAGCUUCUAGUGUUUUCCAGACAACAGACACAAAAAGCAAACGAAACUCAAUGGAGGAAAUUUAAGACAUUCCAGGGAUGAGGAGCUGAAAUGAGUAUCUUCCAGUGAGCAAACCAUAGCUGCACUGAAACCUGAACAGAAGAGUUUAAAACUUGGUGAUGGAGAUUUGGGAGACAUCAACUGUAAAGGACGGACUUAAAGGAAAGUGCGAAUGGAAUCUGCACUCAAAUACUGGAAUAGUAGCUGAAAAACAUGACCUGUAAAUACAAGAGUGCUACCAGUCUGUCAAGGUAGACAGAGUCCAGCAUAUAAAGAAUUGUCGGAGGAGAAUGUGCCCAAUCAUUCCAGAGUUUAAUAAAUCAUUAAACUCCUCCAGGUGAGAAGAAUUAAUACAACGACCCUUCAUUACAUUGUAGAUCUCAACUCAUCCAAGAAAUUUCAUAAUUGAUUUGCCAACUAUUGUGAUAUUUUGCAAAUACAUCCGAUUUUUAUAUUCAGUUGUGUCAAUCAGUUCCUGCUCUGUACAAAUGUUUUUACCAAGUUAAUCAAGUUUGUAUUUUUCUAUUUUAAUAAUCUUGAAAACCUUAAUCACAUCAGUGAACACAAUUGUGCAAUGUUUCUAAUUUGUUGCCCUCUUGCACUACAGGUCUUAACAUAAUUUCAGUUAGGUAUUUUUCUGAAAUGAACUAUGAUACAAGAUUUAAUUAUGAAUCUCCCUCACAGCAUUCAGUUGUCAUUCUAGAAUUCUCAUCCUAAAUCCAUUCAUCUUGUUCAAGGUUGACUUCUAACUAGGAGCUGAAUAUUCCCGUUUUCAGGCUGUUAUUAGAGAGUUUCAUGGCUCCUGUCCCAUUAUUUUUCUUGAUUUUUCUCACCCUACCUUCCACUGCUCCCCUCAUUAAAUAUGCAGCUGAGCACUAUGAUGUCCAUUUCGUGCAAUCACAUGGCAGCAGAGGUAGAAGUGUCUAUUACUGCCAGGACCUUAUGGCUCCAGUAAUUUGAAUACCAUAUGUAAACCCCUACAACGCAUCACUUCAGAACUGCCCUUCAUGCUGUGUUGGUCCACUUAUCACAGGACAGGGCUUCCCAAAGUGGGGGUUAGGAGCCCAAGUGGGGUCGAGUGAAACUUUGGGAUGCAAACUUAGAGGCUGGAAGGGCCACCACAACAGCGAGAUACUUGUUGUCCAGUUCUCUCUGUUCUCACCCAAGUGUUGUGAACUUUUUCAAAUCUCAAGAUGAGGUUGAGUAGUAAUUGGGGUGGUUGUUAGGAAGGCCAUUCUCUUUCCUGUGGAUUGGCAAAAGGAGGCCAUGCCACCAAACCCAGUCAGCCUAGACCCAGAUAACAGGCCUAGACAUAGGUUUUUUGUUUUGUUCAAGAAAUAGCAAAGUGCUCUAAGAAGGUCAAUGAUCUUCUGCACUCUGCAAGGCUGAGUACUACCAUCUUCUCUCUGCUAUUUCACACUCAGUAACUCUGCCACUGCACUGUAACAGCACCAAGGUUAAUGGACUACAACUCUCCUUAUUACAGGCAAAAGAGCCAGUCAACUGCUCUCACCUACCUCAUCCUCCCAAACUAACCCUGUAGGAAGUAAGAGUAGGGAGCACAAACUCCCCACCUGCUCUCCCAUCCACUUUCCACAAACUGAAUCCCUCCUUUGUCUCAAGGCAAAAACAUCUUACAAGCAGACGCCAAGACGGUUAGCAGAAUGGCUGACAUUCAGCUCAUUCCUGAUGAGAAUAUCCUUCAGCUGGCUGGAGGGAAUUCGGGCUUCUCACUUGGUUAUGCUGAAUCCUUUAUGUCCAGCCAAUUCUGUAAACUUUAUUGUUCUGAUGCUGUACUGCUCUCCCAUUAACCACAACUGUUAACUUUUUCUUAAACUGCUCAAGCUUCUAUCCCAUUACACAGUAACCUUUCUUGACUUACACAGGCACCAGUGGCACCAACUCAACAUCUGUCCCAAAGAGGGCCGCGUCCCCUCCACCUGAGGAAAAUGCCACAGAUCCCUCAGAGGAAACACUGGCAAGGUUUUCUCCUGCAGCCUCUAGCAGCUCACCUUGGUUGGUUCACUUUCUAGACUAGAUGUGAGAGCAGAAUGUGGUAAGAACAUCAGUGGCACAUCUCCAUUGUUGAUCUUGGAAGAAAUGCCCUAGGUUGCUGGCACUCAGACAAAUACCUGCUCAGGCCCAGGCAGAGAUCAUUUCGUGCUGUUGUCUAGUAAUAAGUUCUUCCAAAUGCACAAGCAGUCACAGAAACAGCUGGCAAGUUUGUCAGAGACAAUCCAAUUUCACUCUGCUUCAGAUCUCCAGUCCUGUAGAGGCUGCAGCUAAGGAUGGGAAGUUGGCAUUGGGGCAGCUCAGGUACAAAGAGAUGGAUAAAGUUAACUUCCUUGGUUCCAUUUGAUGUUAUGGCUGGAUGACAGCUACCCCUUGCCCAACAGUUAUAUGAAUGUACAAUAGUUUCAUUCUUGAAUAUGGGAACAUCAGGCAAUAUUAAGCAUUCAAGCAGUUUGAAAAGGAAGAUUUUAUUCACAGGAAUGGCAAAGGCAAGCCAACCAAAAAGAUUCAUUUGUUUUGUCAGUAAGUAGAGGCUGCUUGCGUUUGCAGCAACAAAAAUGUAGAAAACUGAAUGAUGUCUUCACCCAGUUAAAACAUCUUGGAUAUAGGUAUCAUCAAAGUUCUGUCUCUUAUAGCACACAAUUGUGAUGUUCCUCCUGGUUUAUGUCCUCACUUGUUUGCGCAAGUGUGCUGUCACUCUGCUAGUUUCUCAGCAUUCAGAAAUCCAACUAAGAGUAGACAGGCUGCACUGGUGACAGUUCAGUGAUGAUAGCCCAGUUCACCCUUUGUUUUCAACUGCGCUAGUUCUCUGACAACUGUAGAUAAUGUCAGAGAAGCUGGCAUGUUUGGGUCUGCAGGCUCUUGUGGUGCACUGGCAGUGUCCCUACCUCUAGACUAGGAGGUUCAAGAUUCAAUAUCCACCUUCCCAGUCAUGUGUCAUAACAAGUCUAAACUUUCUCUUCUUUUCUCAUUUUUAUUUUGAAGUUUUCUAGUUUGUUUUUUCUACUUUCUGGAGAGACCUUGGUGGUGGAGGCAGCAGCAGCAGCGACAGCAUUGCAGCUUUCGGUUCUGGAGCAUGGCAAUGGCUGGGGGCCCCGGAUGAGGACUUUGACAGUCUGAGGUCGAGCUCAUUGCAGGAGGCGCAAGACCAACGUGGUGGUGAGGAAAGACCCCAGCAUCUGCGGUGGCAGCAAGAGCACCAAGGCACAAAGGUUUCCCGGAAAGUGGACCAAAGCUGCAGAAAUUGAUCCCUUGUGGGGAGUAUGACACCAGCAUGGCUAAACACUUAAGACUUUUCUUUUAAAAAGUUAAAAAUUCACUCUUCUAUGUAAUACUAAGGACUGUAAAGUUUAACUUUUAACUUUGCUUCUUUAUUUUUCUACAUUGUACCUAAAAUUGUGUCAUGAAUGGCGAUAUAAUGCAGUGAAAAGCGCACACAGAGUACAAAUGACAAAAUCUAAUUCUAAAUCUAACAGGUUGAUUAAAAAGAUCUAUUCUCUUCUCAUGCUCACUCUAGGCCUCUUGUUGUGCAGUAUUAGUGUGCUGAUCA